rnacentral:tmRNA from 4 species
GGGGAUGACAGGAUUCGAUAGACGGAUUCUGGUAUCAUUCGCAUUCAUGUCGAGGCCGUUUGAUCCUCGCAAAUCACUCGAACAAUCGACUACGUGCAAACGUUGUUAGCAGAGUGAAGAACGCGAUUGCUCGCGCAUUCAGCGUUCCCGCUUUUGCUCCUGUCCUCGCGUAAUUGCCUGGACCAUCGCGCUCCAGAUACUCAAUACGGAAACCGCGGUGCCAACCCAUUGAGCGUAGGAUAGCGUUUUUGUCUGAGGACGCUAUGUGAAAGAUUAUCAGACUUUACCCAUUGCCGUUUUGCCAUUUUUGAGUCAAUGGGCAACAAAGAAAGUGGCUACACAUGUAUACUGCAGUGGUAUCCCGUUUAGACCCGGGUUCAACUCCCGGCAUCUCCACAA